rnacentral:rRNA from 1 species
UGCAAGUCGAACGGCAGCACGGGCUUCGGCCUGGUGGCGAGUGGCGAACGGGUGAGUAAUACAUCGGAACGUGCCCUGUAGUGGGGGAUAACUAGUCGAAAGAUUAGCUAAUACCGCAUACGACCUGAGGGUGAAAGCGGGGGACCGCAAGGCCUCGCGCUACAGGAGCGGCCGAUGUCUGAUUAGCUAGUUGGUGGGGUAAAAGCCUACCAAGGCGACGAUCAGUAGCUGGUCUGAGAGGACGAUCAGCCACACUGGGACUGAGACACGGCCCAGACUCCUACGGGAGGCAGCAGUGGGGAAUUUUGGACAAUGGGGGCAACCCUGAUCCAGCAAUGCCGCGUGUGUGAAGAAGGCCUUCGGGUUGUAAAGCACUUUUGUCCGGAAAGAAAUGGCUCUGGUUAAUACCCGGGGUCGAUGACGGUACCGGAAGAAUAAGCACCGGCUAACUACGUGCCAGCAGCCGCGGUAAUACGUAGGGUGCGAGCGUUAAUCGGAAUUACUGGGCGUAAAGCGUGCGCAGGCGGUUUUGUAAGACAGGCGUGAAAUCCCCGAGCUCAACUUGGGAAUGGCGCUUGUGACUGCAAGGCUAGAGUAUGUCAGAGGGGGGUAGAAUUCCACGUGUAGCAGUGAAAUGCGUAGAGAUGUGGAGGAAUACCGAUGGCGAAGGCAGCCCCCUGGGACGUCACUGACGCUCAUGCACGAAAGCGUGGGGAGCAAACAGGAUUAGAUACCCUGGUAGUCCACGCCCUAAACGAUGUCAACUAGUUGUUGGGGAUUCAUUUCUUCAGUAACGUAGCUAACGCGUGAAGUUGACCGCCUGGGGAGUACGGUCGCAAGAUUAAAACUCAAAGGAAUUGACGGGGACCC